UACGAAGGGGGCAAGCGUUGUUCAGAUUUACUGGGCGUAAAGGGCGCGUCGGCGGGCGACCAUGUCAGAGGUGAAAGCCCCGGGCUCAACCUGGGAAUUGCCUUUGAAACGGGUUGUCUUGAGGACGGGAGAGGAUGGUGGAAUACCCAGUGUAGAGGUGAAAUUCGUAGAUAUUGGGUGGAACACCGGUGGCGAAGGCGACCAUCUGGCCCGUAACUGACGCUGAGGCGCGAAAGCGUGGGGAGCAAACAGG
rnacentral:rRNA from 1 species